CUCGCACUCAGCGACUUUGUGGCAGACAUCAAUCCAGAAGAAACCUUUCCCCUAGUUGAUGAGAAUUCCAUUAAGUCCAAGGAAUCCCUGUGGGCCUUGUAUAAAUGCUGGUGCAAGUAUCAUGAGGUAUCCCGUGACCAUGAAGAAAUGACCCACCGGUUCAGGUCAUUUAGGGCUUGUGCAAUGGCUGUGUACAAAGAUAACAAUUCUGGAUCGUCGCAAGUGUCUCAACUGGGCCCAUUUGCAGAUAUGACUAAGGCGGAGAUUGCUCGGCUGUUUCCUCCACGUAGUCCCAGGUGCCGCUUCGGGGGGUCCAGGAGGUAGUGCAGCCCUUAAUAAAUAAAUAAUUGGCAAAGUUAUGAACUCGUCCUGUAUUAUGGUUUAUGAUUAACUCUGUUGUACUGGAAGUAUCGUUGCUCUAUGGUGCUUCUCAUGGAAUGUUCAGGUGCCAAGUGCAGCUUUCGGGGGUCCAUGAGCUACUGCAGCCCUUAAAUAAUUAAUUGAACUUGUGAACGUAUUUUAUUGUUGUUUAUGGUGAACUCUGUUGCACACAACCAUUACUAAAUUCUGUUAUGAAAAUGGUAGGGCAUAAAAGUCA